UACGGGGGGGGCAAGCGUUGUUCGGAAUUACUGGGCGUAAAGGGCGUGUAGGCGGCUUUGCAAGUCGGGUGUGAAAGCCCUCAGCUCAACUGAGGAAGUGCGCCCGAAACUGCAGAGCUUGAGUGCCGGAGAGGGUGGCGGAAUUCCCCAAGUAGAGGUGAAAUUCGUAGAUAUGGGGAGGAACACCGGUGGCGAAGGCGGCCACCUGGACGGUAACUGACGCUGAGACGCGAAAGCGUGGGGAGCAAACAGG
rnacentral:rRNA from 1 species